GACGAACGCUGGCGGCGUGCUUAACACAUGCAAGUCGAACGGAGAGGCCCUGCUCUUGUGGGGUGCUCAAGUGGCGAACGCGUGAGUAACACGUGAGUAACCUGCCCUUUACUGCGGGAUAACUUCAGGAAACUCGAGUUAAUACCGCAUAUAAGCACCUUCUACAUGGUGUUUGUUGUUAAGUUUCGGAGGUUGGGCAUGGACUCGCGGUUUAGCAUCGUGUUGGUUAGGUAGUGGCUUACCCAGGCUUUGACGCGUAGCCGGACUGAGAGGGUGACAGGCCCCAUUGGGACUGAGAUACGAGCAGGACUGAUACGGGAGGCAGCAGUGGGAAAUAGUGCAAACUGGGCGGAGGCAGGAUGCAGCAUCGUCGCAUGCGAGAUCACGGCCUUCGGGUUAUAACCCGGUUUAGCCUGUGACGAAGAGUGAGUGACGGUAAUGGGUAAAGAAGCAACGGCUAACUACGUG
rnacentral:rRNA from 1 species